GAUGAAGAACGUAGCGAAAUGCGAUACUUGGUGUGAAUUGCAGAAUCCCGUGAACCAUCGAGUCUUUGAACGCAAGUUGCGCCCGAAGCCAUUAGGCCGAGGGCACGCCUGCCUGGGCGUCACACGUCGUUGCCCCCCCAUCUACUCCUUCGGGAUUGCGGGGGGCGGAUGAUGGCCUCCCGUGCGCCUCGCCGCGCGGUUGGCAUAAAUGCCAAGUCCUCGGCGACGCACGCCACGACAAUCGGUGGUUGCGAAACCUCGGUUGCCCGUCGUGUGCGGUCGUCGCGCAUCGAGGGCUCGAAAAAAUUGCCGGGUUCCGGCUCGGCUUUCAACGCGACCCCAGGUCAGGCGGGGCUACCCGCUGAGUUUAAGCAUAUCAUAAGCGGAGGA
rnacentral:misc_RNA from 1 species